rnacentral:piRNA from 1 species
UGAAAUGGACAGGAAGGGUGGGCGGGCCU